AUUUUCUGCCACCGAAUACAUUAGCAUGGGAUAAUGGAAUAGGACCCUGUCCUCCUAUUUUCAGUUGGUUUUGGCAGCGCGAGGACUAGGGUAAUGAUUAAUAGGGAUAGUUGGGGGCAUUAAUAUUUAAUUGUCAGAGGUGAAAUUCUUGGAUUUAUGAAAGAUUAACUUCUGCGAAAGCAUCUGCCAAGGAUGUUUUCAUUAAUCAAGAACGAAAGUUAGGGGAUCGAAGACGAUCAGAUACCGUCGUAGUCUUAACCAUAAACGAUGCCGACCAGCGAUUAGGAGACGUUGAAUACAAAACACCACCAUCGGCGCGGUCGUCCUUGGCGUUCGUGUUCACGCACGAGCGCGAGGGCGGYUUAGCCCGRUGGCACCGGUGAAUGACUCCCCUAGC
rnacentral:rRNA from 1 species